rnacentral:misc_RNA from 1 species
UUUCCGUAGGUGAACCUGCGGAAGGACCAUUAAUGAAUUUUAGGACGUUCUUUUUAGAAGUCCGACCCUUUCAUUUUCUUACACUGUGCACACACUUCUUUUUUACACACACUUUUAACACCUUAGUAUAAGAAUGUAAUAGUCUCUUAAUUGAGCAUAAAUAAAAACAAAACUUUCAGCAACGGAUCUCUUGGCUCUCGCAUCGAUGAAGAACGCAGC